GGAUGAGCUUGAAGGCCUUGGAGAAAGUUAUUGGGGAUAAAAUUCCAAACUCUGCUAAGAAGAUAGAACCCAUUAUUAAAAGAAUUGCAACUUUCCAAGCUCCGGGAAGAUAUUUCUUGAAAUCAGGUGUGGAGUUGGAAAGCUUCAGGAAACCUUCAUCUGAAAAUGGAAGUUCUCCUGAAGACAGCCGUCAGCAGGCACUUGUUCCUGAAGACAACCAUAAUCAUAGACCUCCUCCAGAAUCACGAUUUGUUGAG
rnacentral:misc_RNA from 1 species